rnacentral:misc_RNA from 1 species
GAAAUGCAGGUGCAGCUGGACAUUCUUCUGAGCUAAAAGCAUAUUUAUUUAGUCCCGUCAAACGGAUUAUUACUUUUGCUCUAGCUAACAUAAAGGUUGAUUGUUCUCUAUGCUGACUGAUGCAGGAUUACCAAGUUUUUCAUUCGUGAAAGACUUGUAAACUCGAUCUCAAAUCAAGUAAGACUACCCGCUGAACUUAA